UACGUAGGGGGCAAGCGUUGUCCGGAUUUAUUGGGCGUAAAGAGCGUGUAGGCGGCCAAGCAGGUCCGCUGUGAAAACUCGAGGCUCAACCUCGAGACGUCGGUGGAAACCGUUUGGCUAGAGUCCGGAAGAGGAGAGUGGAAUUCCCGGUGUAGCGGUGAAAUGCGCAGAUAUCAGGAAGAACACCCGUGGCGAAAGCGGCUCUCUGGAACGGUACUGACGCUGAGACGCGAAAGCGUGGGGAGCGAACAGG
rnacentral:rRNA from 1 species